UACGUAGGGUGCGAGGGUUGUCCGGAUUUAUUGGGCGGAAAGAGCUCGUAGGCGGUUUGUCGCGUCGGCCGUGAAAUCUCCACGCUUAACGUGGAGCGUGCGGUCGAUACGGGCAGACUUGAGUUCGGUAGGGGAGACUGGAAUUCCUGGUGUAGCGGUGAAAUGCGCAGAUAUCAGGAGGAACACCGGUGGCGAAGGCGGGUCUCUGGGCCGAUACUGACGCUGAGGAGCGAAAGCGUGGGGAGCGAACAGG
rnacentral:rRNA from 1 species